AGCGUUGUUCGGAAUUACUGGGCGUAAAGCGCACGUAGGCGGAUAUUUAAGUCAGGGGUGAAAUCCCGCAGCUCAACUGCGGAACUGCCUUUGAUACUGGGUGUCUAGAGUGUGGAAGAGGUAAGUGGAAUUCCGAGUGUAGAGGUGAAAUUCGUAGAUAUUCGGAGGAACACCAGUGGCGAAGGCGGCUUACUGGUCCAUUACUGACGCUGAGGUGCGAAAG
rnacentral:rRNA from 1 species